rnacentral:rRNA from 1 species
UACAGAGGGGGCAAGCGUUAUUCGGAAUUAUUGGGCGUAAAGGGCGCGUAGGCGGCCUGGCAAGUGGAAGGUGAAAUCCCUCGGCUUAACCGAGGAACUGCCCUCCAAACUGCUUGGCUUGAGACCGGGAGAGGUGAGUGGAAUUCCCAGUGUAGCGGUGAAAUGCGUAGAUAUUGGGAGGAACACCAGUGGCGAAGGCGGCAUCCUGGACCGACACUGACGCUGAGGCGCGAAAGCCAGGGGAGCAAACGGG